AUGCUGCAACCUUCCAGCGGCCUCUACUCGCUCAGCAGCCAGGUCACCGUCCCGGCCAGCAGCUGGGAGUCUAACACCUAUAGCUGCACCGUAAAGCACCAGUCCACCAGCCGCAGCAUCUCCAAGGACAUCCCAAAGCCCAUCCUCAUUGAACCCCAUGCCCCCGAGGUGGAAGUCUUCUACUCCUGCACCACCAACCCAGGCACCGUCCAGCUGGUGUGCUUAAUCUCCGGCUUCAACCCCAAGGCUUUGACGGUGGAAUGGCUGGUGGACGGCGAGCAUGGGCUACUUCAUAGUGACCUCAACCCUGUCACGAAGGACACCGACGGCCGCACCUACAGCAUCCGCAGCAAUGCCAGUGUCCCCCAGAGCGAGUGGCUGGCGGGCAAGACGUACACUUGCCAGGUGUACCACGCGGGCACUGACACCACAAAGCAGGCCCACGCCCGCAAGUGCGAAGAAAAAACAACGUCUCCCAGCGACAUCCAGGUCUUCCUGGUGCCCCCGUCUCCUGCCGACUUGUAUGUGAACCAGAGCCCCAUGCUCACCUGCCUGGUGGUCAACCUGCCUAGCAACUCCAGCCUCCAGGUGGUCUGGUCCCGGGAGAAGCCGGGCUCCAUUGUCCCUGAACCCAUGAACCUCACUGAGCAGUUCAACAGCACCAUCACCGCCUCCAGCUCCAUGCCCAUCCUCACCCACGACUGGGAGGACGGAGAGAACUUCACCUGCACAGUGAACCACUCAAAUCUGACCUCGCCCCUCAUCAAAUCGAUCUCCAAGAAGCCAGGCAGGCGCUCUGCCCCUGGCAUCUACCUCCUGCGCCCUCACAACGACGAGCUGAGCAGCUCCGAAGACUCCGUCAGCCUCACCUGCCUGGUGCAGGGCUUCUUCCCCGAGGACAUCUCGGUGCAGUGGAUGAAGAACCACAAACCCAACGAGAGCUUGGAAUAUAUCACCACCCAGCCCAUCAAGGACGGAGCCGGCGACUCGAACUUCUUCCUCUACAGCAAGCUGAAAGUCAGCAAGGCCAGCUGGAACACUGGGGACACCUACACCUGCAUGGUCAUCCAUGAAGCCCUGCAGAUGAAGUUCACCCAACGCAGCGUCAGCAAAGUCUCUGAGGUGAUCGUGUCAGGUGAGUUUUGCAACGAGGAUGGAGACAAGGAGUUAGACGGCCUCUGGUCCACCAUCUCGGUCUUCAUCACCCUCUUCCUCUUGAGCGUGUGCUACAGUGCCACCGUGACCCUGUUCAAGGUGAAGUGGCUUUUCUCCACCGUGGUGCAGCUGAAGCAGACGAGUGGCCCCGAGUACAAGAACGUGAUCCAGCGCGUGGUGUAGGGGCCACUGCCCUCAUCCACCCGGAGACAAAGGGCUGAGACACCCGGCUCCAUUGGCGACACCACCCUGAGUCCCACAGCU